rnacentral:rRNA from 1 species
GAUGAACGCUGGCGGCGUGCCUAAUACAUGCAAGUCGAGCGAACGGACGAGAAGCUUGCUUCUCUGAUGUUAGCGGCGGACGGGUGAGUAACACGUGGAUAACCUACCUAUAAGACUGGGAUAACUUCGGGAAACCGGAGCUAAUACCGGAUAAUAUUUUGAACCGCAUGGUUCAAAAGUGAAAGACGGUCUUGCUGUCACUUAUAGAUGGAUCCGCGCUGCAUUAGCUAGUUGGUAAGGUAACGGCUUACCAAGGCAACGAUGCAUAGCCGACCUGAGAGGGUGAUCGGCCACACUGGAACUGGGACACGGUCCAGACUCCUACGGGAGGCAGCAGUAGGGAAUCUUCCGCAAUGGGCGAAAGCCUAACGGAGCAACGCCGCGUGAGUGAUGAGGGUCUUCGGAUCGUAAAACUCUGUUAUUAGGGAAGAACAUAUGUGUAAGUAACUGUGCACAUCUUGACGGUACCUAAUCAGAAAGCCACGGCUAACUACGUG